rnacentral:rRNA from 1 species
CUCCUGGAAACGGGUGGUAAUGCCGGAUGCUCCGCCCCCUCGCAUGGGGGGUCGGGAAGGCUUUUGCGGAAUGGGAUGGGGUCGCGUCCUAUCAGCUUGUUGGCGGGGCGACGGCCCACCAAGGCUUCGACGGGUAGCCGGCCUGAGAGGGCGACCGGCCACAUUGGGACCGAGAUACGGCCCAGACUCCUACGGGAGGCAGCAGUGGGGAAUAUUGCACAAUGGGGGGAACCCUGAUGCAGCGACGCCGCGUGCGGGAUGGAGGCCUUCGGGUCGUGAACCGCUUUUGAUUGGGAGCAAGCGUGAGUGAGUGUACCUUUCGAAUAAGCACCGGCUAACUACGUGCCAGCAGCCGCGGUAAUACGUAGGGUGCAAGCGUUGUCCGGAAUCAUUGGGCGUAAAGGGCUCAUAGGCGGUUCGUCGCGUCCGGUGUGGAAGCCCAUCGCUUAACGGUGGGUCUGCGCCGGGUACGGGCGGGCUUGAGUGCGGCAGGGGAGGCUGGAAUUCCCGGUGUAACGGUGGAAUGUGUAGAUAUCGGGAAGAACACC